UGUGAGUGUGUGUAGAUGUGUUAGCAUUCUUUUUUUUCCUCCCUACCUUCUUGUGUUCUUGUGUGUACCUCCAACCAUGACAGCGAUCAAAGUGUGCCAAAUAGUUCCCCUCUGGGAAUAAUACAAUUUUUUGAAUCUUGAAUCUUGAAUCUUAAACAGCUAUUUGCUGUCUGAAUCUGGAGGUAGUGGAACAAAGAGAAGUGAAAACACACACAUGAAAGGAGACAGAUUCAGGGAGGAGCUGAGCUGUGACUGAAUGUAGAAGAAAGACAAACGUCUACAUUCAACACGGUUUGAUACACAGUCAGUGAUCAUCAUUCAUCACACUGGAGCACGCUCUGGAGCAAAGACAACACAAUGCUCCACAGCAUCCACCAGAGGGACACGUCAUCCAGUAGGAGCUGCACGACCUCUGCACUGUUCAACCACUGUGUCAGUCAUAACUACUGAACAGAACAAUUCUCAGACUGAAUGUUGAACAUCAGCCUCUUUCUCCUCUUGACUUCAACCUUGUUGUAGAGAUGGAUCAUUGGCUGUGGAUUAUUCUGGCUGCUCUUUGCUACGAGUGUAAAGGAGAAGACAGAGUGAUCCAGACAACAGGAGACGUCACUGCUACUGAAGGAGACGCUCUUACGCUCAACUGUACAUUUGAGACCAGUGACCCAAUGCCGUAUUUGUUCUGGUACAAACAAGAAGUACACGAUUCUCCAAAGUACUUGUUGAAGUGUUUCUCAAAAUCAGUGGACAACGCCCCAGAGUUUCCAAAAGAAAGAUUUGAUGCUGCAAUUGAAGGGACAUCAGUUCCUCUGAAGAUCCAGAAGCUUCAAGUGUCUGACUCUGCUGUGUACUACUGUGCUCUGAGGCCCACAGUGACAGGAAACACCUCAACUCUGUACAAAAACCUCUGGAGCAAAGACAACACAAUGCUCCACAGCAUCCACCAGAGGGAGACACUGUCAUAA